AAUUACUCAAAGGAAGCGUUGGGGUAAGGUGGAUCUGGCUAAACCUAACAGGAUUCUCACUGAAGACAGGCCAGGGUGAUCAGACAUCACCUGGGGGAUGGUGCAGGAUGAGAAACCUGGUCAGACAUUGAGGCGAUCGGAUGUUGAUGUUGCUGGUUCUUGGUAAAACGACUUAGCUAGUGUCCUUUGCUAAAACUGGAUUUUACAAGGACGUGCACAAACAGGCCUAGCAGGAGAUUCAGAAGCCUGACUAAAAUUUGGCCAAGGAAAAAAAUCCUUGUCACCAGGAAAGUGAGGACUAUUGUCACCAAAUUCAGACUGCCAAUUGUUAAACAUUUACCUGCACAUACUGGGCUCAUCUUCAUUAUUGGUAAAAUGAGCUAGAUGCUAUUUUCCAUUAGCUCACACUCCAAUUCCAAUCGACCUGACCAUCAGAAGAGACAAAAAGGGAAAAUCCUGGCCAGUUCUCCCCUACCUGAUCAACCAGUAGCAUAAUCAGAUUUGCAAGACCUCAAGAAAAGAAACCUGAAAAUGCCACUGGAGGUGUGUGUUUUGCCAAAGAAAAAAGAAUCAAAAACAAAACCUGCAGGAUGAGGACAAACAAACAAAGAGCAGGUAUUUAAACCAGCCUUAUAUUCUCCCCUUCACUCGUUUCCACUUCCCCACUUUACACUAUCGAUUACUCCAAUCAAAGGAUACAUAUCUUUCAUAUAAUAACCAUUGUAGCUGCAAUUAAAAUAGUUAUUGCCCGGCACAUUGGCUCAUGCCUGUAAUCCUGGCACUUUGGGAGGCCAAGGCGGG
rnacentral:lncRNA from 1 species